rfam:TPA: Bos taurus chromosome 22, whole genome shotgun sequence.
UGCCUAGUGGUCCAGUGGCUAAGAUUCUGUGCUCCCAAUGUAGGGGGCCCAGGUUCAAUCCCUGGUUAGGGAA